GAUGAACGCUAGCGACAGGCUUAACACAUGCAAGUCGAGGGGCAGCAGGGGAGUAGCAAUACUCCCGCUGGCGACCGGCGCACGGGUGAGUAACACGUAUGCAACCUGCCCUUGUCAGGGGGAUAAGCGGAAGAAAUUCCGUCUAAUACCGCAUAAUGCUGCGGGGAGACAUCUCCCUGCAGCCAAAGAUUUAUCGGACAAGGAUGGGCAUGCGGCGCAUUAGCUUGUUGGCGGGGUAACGGCCCACCAAGGCGACGAUGCGUAGGGGUUCUGAGAGGAAGGUCCCCCACACUGGUACUGAGACACGGACCAGACUCCUACGGGAGGCAGCAGUGAGGAAUAUUGGUCAAUGGCCGGGAGGCUGAACCAGCCAAGUCGCGUGAGGGAAGACGGUCCUAUGGAUUGUAAACCUCUUUUGUCAGGGAGCAAAAACUGCCACGUGUGGCAGGAUGAGAGUACCUGAAGAAAAAGCAUCGGCUAACUCCGUGCCAGCAGCCGCGGUAAUACGGAGGAUGCGAGCGUUAUCCGGAUUUAUUGGGUUUAAAGGGUGCGUAGGCGGACAGUUAAGUCAGCGGUAAAAUUGAGAGGCUCAACCUCUUCCCGCCGUUGAAACUGAUUGUCUUGAGUGGGCGAGAAGUAUGCGGAAUGCGUGGUGUAGCGGUGAAAUGCAUAGAUAUCACGCAGAACUCCGAUUGCGAAGGCAGCAUACCGGCGCCCAACUGACGCUGAAGCACGAAAGCGUGGGUAUCGAACAGGAUUAGAUACCCUGGUAGUCCACGCAGUAAACGAUGAAUACUAAUUGUUCGGGUCAAAUGAGAUCUGAGUGAUACAGCGAAAGCGUUAAGUAUUCCACCUGGGGAGUACGCCGGCAACGGUGAGACUCAAAGGAAUUGACGGGGGCCCGCACAAGCGGAGGAACAUGUGGUUUAAUUCGAUGAUACGCGAGGAACCUUACCCGGGCUCAAACGACACAGGAAUGAUCUGAGAAAUCAGGCAGUCCUCCGGGACCUGUGUCGAGGUGCUGCAUGGUUGUCGUCAGCUCGUGCCGUGAGGUGUCGGCUUAAGUGCCAUAACGAGCGCAACCCCCAUCGACAGUUGCCAGCAGGUCAAGCUGGGCACUCUGUCGAGACUGCCGGCGCAAGCUGUGAGGAAGGCGGGGAUGACGUCAAAUCAGCACGGCCCUUACGUCCGGGGCGACACACGUGUUACAAUGGCAGGUACAGCGGGAAGCCACCUGGCGACAGGGAGCGGAACCCGAAAGCCUGUCUCAGUUCGGAUUGGAGUCUGCAACUCGACUCCAUGAAGCUGGAUUCGCUAGUAAUCGCGCAUCAGCCACGGCGCGGUGAAUACGUUCCCGGGCCU
rnacentral:rRNA from 1 species